AUUGAACGCUGGCGGCAGGCCUAACACAUGCAAGUCGAACGGUAACAGGAAGCAGCUUGCUGCUUUGCUGACGAGUGGCGGACGGGUGUGUAAUGUCUGGGAAAUUGCUUGAUGGAGGGGGAUAACUACUGGAAACGGUAGUUAAUACCGCAUAACGUUGCAAGACCAAAGAGGGGGACUUUCGGGCCUCUUGCCAUCGGAUGUGCCCAGAUGGGAUUAGCUAGUAGGUGGGGUAACGGCUCACCUAGGCGACGAUCCCUAGCUGGUCUGAGAGGAUGACCAGCCACACUGGAACUGAGACACGGUCCAGACUCCUACGGGAGGCAGCAGUGGGGAAUAUUGCACAAUGGGCGCAAGCCUGAUGCAGCCAUGCCGCGUGUAUGAAGAAGGCCUUCGGAUUGUAAAGUACUUUCAGCGGGGAGGAAGGGAGUAAAGUUAAUACCUUUGCUCAUUGACGUUACCCGCAGAAGAAGCACCGGCUAACUCCGUG
rnacentral:rRNA from 1 species